rnacentral:rRNA from 1 species
GCUUUACUGUAACUUGGAAUUGAAAUUGGACUUUAUUUGCGCAGUAUAGGUGGGAGGCGUUGAGAAUAUUCUUGCGGGAAUAUAGGAGCCAUCAGUGAGAUACCACUCUUGUAAUGUUAGAUUUCUAACUUUGAAUCAUUAUCUGGUCAAAGAACAGUUUCAGGCGGGCAGUUUGACUGGGGCGGUCGCCUCCUAAAUGGUAACGGAGGCGCACAAAGGUUUCCUCUGAACGGGUAGAAAUCGUAUCUAGAGUGUAAAGGCAUAAGGAAGCUUGACUGUGAGACCUACAAGUCGAGCAGGGACGAAAGUCGGUCUUAGUGAUCUGACGGUGCUG